rnacentral:rRNA from 1 species
AACGAACGCUGGCGGCAUGCCUAACACAUGCAAGUCGAACGAUUGCCUUCGGGUGAUAGUGGCGCACGGGUGCGUAACGCGUGGGAAUCUGCCCUUAGGUUCGGAAUAACAGCUGGAAACGGCUGCUAAUACCGGAUGAUAUCGCGAGAUCAAAGAUUUAUCGCCUGAGGAUGAGCCCGCGUUGGAUUAGGUAGUUGGUGGGGUAAAGGCCUACCAAGCCGACGAUCCAUAGCUGGUCUGAGAGGAUGAUCAGCCACACUGGGACUGAGACACGGCCCAGACUCCUACGGGAGGCAGCAGUGGGGAAUAUUGGACAGUGGGCGCAAGCCUGAUCCAGCAAUGCCGCGUGAGUGAUGAAGGCCCUAGGGUUGUAAAGCUCUUUUACCCGGGAAGAUAAUGACUGUACCGGGAGAAUAAGCCCCGGCUAACUCCGUG